rnacentral:rRNA from 1 species
UACGUAGGGGGCUAGCGUUAUCCGGAUUCAUUGGGCGUAAAGAGCGCGUAGGCGGCUUGGUAAGUCGGAUGUGAAAACUGGGGGCUCAACCCGCAGCCUGCAUCUGAAACCGCCAGGCUUGAGUCUGGUAGAGGAAAGUGGAAUUCCCAGUGUAGCGGUGAAAUGCGCAGAUAUUGGGAGGAACACCAGUGGCGAAGGCGGCUUUCUGGGCCACGACUGACGCUGAGGCGCGAAAGCUAGGGGAG